GAUGAAGAACGCAGCGAAAUGCGAUAAGUAGUGUGAAUUGCAGAAUUCAGUGAAUCAUCGAAUCUUUGAACGCACAUUGCGCCCGGCAGUAAUCUGCCGGGCAUGCCUGUCCGAGCGUCAUUUCUGCCCUCGAGCGAGUCCAGCAUCUAGGUGCUGGGCCCGCCCGGCGUUGGGGCACUACGGGGAGCCCUGUGCUGUCCCCCGUAGGCCCCGAAAUGAAGUGGCGGUCCUGCCGCGGCGCCCCCUGCGUAGUAUAACAGCUCGCUUCGGGACCCGGUGGAGGCCUGCCGUCAAACCUUACUCUCUAAGUUUGACCUCGGAUCAGGUAGGGUUACCCGCUGAACUUAAGCAUAUCAAUAAGCGGAGGA
rnacentral:misc_RNA from 1 species